CCCGUCUUCCCCCUCCAAUUCGUCUUAUCCAAGCGACCUAAGGUUUAUGAAUCGCCGAUUUAUUUUAAACGCAUCUCCUUCCACUCUCUGAAUCGCCCGUCGCAGCUACCUUGCUUCUCCUUAGUUCGUUCAUCGAUCUGUAAUUAUGGGUCAGAUCCUUGCGGUUGUACAAGAAAAGUUCCACGGGAAACAAUGGAAGGAGAAGCAGAUUCGGAAGAUAACCGAUCGCGUCUUCGACCACAUCAGAGACGAGAGCUCCGACUCCAGGGACGGCCUCACCUUUGAGGACGUCUACAUCGCCGUCCUCUGCGUCUUCAAUGACAUCAACAAGCACCUGCCUGGGCCCCACCACGAUCCGCCCACCAAGGACAAGCUGAGAUCCUUGAUGAAGGAAUACGAUGUUAACCUUGAUGGGCUACUUAACCGCGAGGAGUUUGCAGAGUUCAUUCGGAAACUGACAGCUGAAACCUUAACUGCAAUCAGUCAAAGUCUUAUAAUUGCACUUAUAUUGGCUCCAACCAUCGCGCUGAUGACAAAGAGGGCAACCGAAGGAGUGCCCGGUGUGGGUAAAGUGGUGCAGAAGCUUCCAAAUUCCAUCUACGCUUCCAUCAUUACCCUUGGGGUGCUGUUGGCCCAAAAAUCCACGGAGGGUUGUGAAUAACCAAGUCAAGAAUUUCUACAACGGCUUUCUAAAAAGUUUAGGUGCUCUUUGGAUACGAAUCUCCUGUUCUGAUAUAAUAAAUUGUACGGAGCAGUUGGUCAGGUUGGGCGUGAGCAUGAUGGAGGCAUCCACGGAUUCCAAUAUCUCAUGAGAGGAGCACGAAGACUAGUAUGGAUGCUUCAAGAUCCGCUGUGAUUCGCACUGCGACACGUCGCUGCAAUCCUGGCAGCGAACCAAACCUCGACUUCGUCUGCUGCAAUCAUGGCAGGAUAAGCAGCGAGACCAGUCUGGUACGGACGUUACGCGCCGACUUCGCCGUAUUACAUAUGCUGCUCGUUCAAACUUUGUUAGGGAAGAAGACUCCACCAAACCGCGUCCGGACAAGCGCCACCAACUCUUGGGAAAGCGAAGGGAAGAGGCCAUACGAUACAUAAAUGGUGCCAAAUCGGGCGGCACUAACUACCGGUCUAAGCAUCCGAGUGGAGAGGGGACUCGGGGCGGUUUAUCUGUUUGGGGUUUAGAAUGGUGGGCAGGGCAGGGCCGGCAGUCUUCCACUUUCUUCGGUAACACUACUGCUUGUCUGAUCGCGCUUCUCAUUUGAUUUCUGAUGGGGGCUUGUUUUCUAUGUCAGGCUUUGGGAUAGCGAGCAUCGGGACUCUCUCUCUCUAUAUAUAUAUAUAGCAAAUCAGGUGUUGAUUCGGAGGA